UACGUAGGGUGCAAGCGUUGUCCGGAAUUAUUGGGCGUAAAGAGCUCGUAGGUGGUUUGUCGCGUUGUUCGUGAAAACCGGGGGCUUAACCCUCGGCGUGCGGGCGAUACGGGCAGACUGGAGUACUGCAGGGGAGACUGGAAUUCCUGGUGUAGCGGUGAAAUGCGCAGAUAUCAGGAGGAACACCGGUGGCGAAGGCGGGUCUCUGGGUAGUAACUGACGCUGAGGAACGAAAGCGUGGGUAGCGAACAGG
rnacentral:rRNA from 1 species